CACGUAGGGGGCGAGCGUUGUCCGGAUUUAUUGGGCGUAAAGAGCUCGUAGGCGGCUCAGUAAGUCGGGUGUGAAAACUCCAGGCUCAACCUGGAGACGCCACCCGAUACUGCUGUGGCUAGAGUCCGGUAGGGGAGCAUGGAAUUCCUGGUGUAGCGGUGAAAUGCGCAGAUAUCAGGAGGAACACCAGUGGCGAAGGCGGCUAUCUAGACGGUUUCUGACGCUAAGACGCGAAAGCGUGGGGAGCAAACAGG
rnacentral:rRNA from 1 species